rnacentral:tRNA from 4 species
GCGGAAGUGGCGGAAUUGGCAGACGCACCAUCUUGAGGGGGUGGCGCCCGGUAGGGCGUGCGGGUUCAAGUCCCGCCUUCCGCA